rnacentral:rRNA from 1 species
UACAGAGGGUGCGAGCGUUGUCCGGAAUCACUGGGCGUAAAGCGCACGUAGGCGGAUUGCUAAGUCAGGGGUGAAAAUCCUGGGAGCUCAACUCCAGAACUGCCUUUGAUACUGGCGAUCUUGAGUCCGGGAGAGGUGAGUGGAACUGCGAGUGUAGAGGUGAAAGUUCGUAGAUAUUCGCAAGAACACCAGUGGCGAAGGCGGCUCACUGGCCCGGUACUGACGCUGAGGUGCGAAAGCGUGGGGAGCAAACAGG